GGGGCUGAUUCUGGAUUCGACGGGAUUUGCGAAACCCAAGGUGCAUGCCGAGGGGCGGUUGGCCUCGUAAAAAGCCGCAAAAAAAUAGUCGCAAACGACGAAACCUACGCUUUAGCAGCUUAAUAACCUGCUUAGAGCCCUCUCUCCCUAGCCUCCGCUCUUAGGACGGGGAUCAAGAGAGGUCAAACCCAAAAGAGAUCGCGUGGAUGCCCUGCCUGGGGUUGAAGCGUUAAAACGAAUCAGGCUAGUCUGGUAGUGGCGUGUCCGUCCGCAGGUGCCAGGCGAAUGUAAAGACUGACUAAGCAUGUAGUACCGAGGAUGUAGGAAUUUCGGACGCGGGUUCAACUCCCGCCAGCUCCAC
rnacentral:tmRNA from 2 species